AGUAGAACUAAAAUGAACCUCUAUGUGUAGUUAACAUAUGAUUCAGUCUCUCUAUCGUGAGUUCCGACUAGAUGGUAGGUCAUGAAUAAAUUGUCAAACCUCAGCAUUAGUCAUAUGAUAGAUUCGAUUAGCUCAAGUCCAGUUGUGAUUUCUAUGAAAACUCUUUUUCAUCAAUCACAUUGUUGUGGCCACGGACUCUUGGACUUAGCCUCUCAAAUCUCAUAGAACUACUCCUCUCUAUCAAGGUCGAUAGAUCCUAUCUUGAUGCGUACCUUAUCCCUAUAGUAGACCUACUAUCGCCAACAUCCACUAUAAGGGCUUAUUGAGAUCAAUGUUUAUUUAUCAGUCAAACUCCAGCAACCUCACUGCGAGUAGCAGUACCAUC
rnacentral:lncRNA from 1 species